GACUGCUGUUUACACUCUGUUGCCUAAAGUCUGCAAGGGGUGUACUUAAUGGAACUUCUGCCUGAGGAACUCAGAGCUGGUGCUAAAAGGAAGUGAAUUUAAAAAAGAGCAAGAACAAACAAACACCCUCCC
rnacentral:lncRNA from 1 species